UGCGCUGGUAGUGUAGUGGUUAUCACUGGAGCUUGCCAAGUUCCAGACCCGGGUUCAAUUCCCGGUCAGCGCAU
rnacentral:tRNA from 2 species